rnacentral:rRNA from 1 species
UAGAUACCCUGGUAGUCCACGCUGUAAACGCUGUCGAUUUGGGGGUUGGACUUUAAGUUUGGCGCCCGAAGCUAACGUGAUAAAUCGACCGCCUGGGGAGUACGGCCGCAAGGUUAAAACUCAAAUGAAUUGACGGGGGCCCGCACAAGCGGUGGAGCAUGUGGUUUAAUUCGAUGCAACGCGAAGAACCUUACCUACUCUUGACAUCCAUGGAAUCCUGUAGAGAUACGGGAGUGCCUUCGGGAACCAU